GGAGCCAGGAGCAGAUUGGGGGUGCAGAGGGAGCCACUGGAGCCACGUUGUGACAGAGACGAACACUGAUUAGCAUGUGAGAUUGCACAGAUCACCUAAUCAUACCAGGUUUCUGAUCUACUUCGAUGCAAGAGCAUUUAAAAUCUCAGCAGAACCAGGCCUCAGCUUACCUGCCCAACCCCUCCCCAAGCUUGCUGGGAACUUCUUCCCUCCAGAGUCGCCAGCUGCACUGCCUUUUUUCACUGGUCUCAGCCCUUCCUCCCAGCCCUGGAAUUAAUAAAAGCUCUGAGCUGCCUGUGGUUUUCA